rnacentral:rRNA from 1 species
GAAGGCCGUCAUCCCUCACGCGGCGUCGCUGCAUCAGGCUUUCGCCCAUUGUGCAAUAUUCCCCACUGCUGCCUCCCGUAGGAGUCUGGGCCGUGUCUCAGUCCCAGUGUGGCCGGUCGCCCUCUCAGGCCGGCUACCCGUCGUCGCCUUGGUGAGCCACUACCUCACCAACAAGCUGAUAGGCCGCGGGCUCAUCCUGCACCGCCGGAGCUUUACACCAUCCACCAUGCGGCAGACGGUCAUAUCCGGUAUUAGACCCCGUUUCCAGGGCUUGUCCCAGAGUGCAGGGCAGAUUGCCCACGUGUUACUCACCCGUUCGCCACUAAUCCCCGCCCGAAAGCGGUUCAUCGUUCGACUUGCAUGUGUUAAGCACGCCGCCAGCGUUCGUCCUGAGCCAGGAUCAAACU